CCCACCGGAGGGUGGCUGCUCCUCCCUCGUCUCGCUCAUCAGAGCUCCCCUAGAUCUACCAGUGUUCAUCUACGCCGUAUGUGGUUGACUACGUAUUAAUGCCUAUUUCUUUUUUUACCAAAGUCAGUUUCAUUGUAUUUGCAUUCUCAUAUGAUGUAUUUCUAUAUUUGAUUUUUUUUGUUUGUUUAUUUUAUAAAUUUUUUCGUCCUGGGCCAGCUUUAUGGGAACUUAGUUUGACCCACCUUAUGCUCAGAAACCUUAGUAAGUAGCUCAUCUGACUUUCUAAAGGUCAGACUUAUCGCUUUAUACAUUUGUAUAAUGUAAAUGUAUUCUGUUGAAAGUACAGUCCUAAUCAGGUGUAGCUCCUAACGCGUUCAAAUAGAAUUAACACUUUUCUCAUCAGCUAGCCACGUAUAAUCUUUGAGUAUUUGUUUUGGGUUAGCAUUUACGUUGUAGGCUGUAGCCUAAUUUUUACACAAUAAGCAGAUGUCGACAGAAGGCUGUUAUUGUAACACUUACAACAAGUACCCUACACUAGUCUACUUCAUGUUAUUAAGAUAAUGUAAACAUAAGGUACUGAUAGCAUUAUUUCAGUCCUCAAACACGUGUUUGCGUCUUAGACAUAUCAAUUUAACACACUCCGUAAAGACAGCGUGCCUUAUUUGGGUUAUUUUUAAAACUAUUUUUACAUUCUUAGUUGUUUACUAAGAUUUUAGGUCGAUGGCUAUGACGAGGGUAGUUCGUCAGAUGUUUGCACUGAAACUUGGUUGUUGACAAGAAUGUUCUGGAUGGCGUCGACCCACAUUUUGCCCGUUUCAAAACAUUGAUAUUCAGCUCGCGUCGCAUGGGAAGCACCCUAAAUUCACACCUUGCAAAGAAGUAUUGUCUAAAAGCCUGCUAGGUUUGCAUUUCACAUUCGCUUCCUCACGAAAUCAUUUAAGUGUAAAAUUGUAAACAACCGACAAGUCAUGGCUCUUGUUACGUAACGCACUGCUCUAUUUAUAAGACUGCGGAUCCAGUAGCGCAACUUGACUGCCUCUAGCGUUUCACACUACUCGCUGUUAUUUGCAUGAAUAUAUCUGCCUUAUUUACCUAUUACUGGCUGUUCUACGGGGUCGAAAAAAUGACCAGAAUAGUGUUCAGUUGUAAAGGGCGUUUAAUGAACAGCAAUUGUUACAUAAGAACACAAGAAGAAAAUAUUUAAACAUUAUAUGCCUCUCUUGUGUAUCACUGACGAACAUCGCCUCGACCCAAAUAGGAUGAUGGUGAUGUUCUAGUGAUGACGCGAAAUAAAGGUCUGCAAGGAGAUGAAUGCGUCAGUCAGGGACAAGAUGCGUAGGGGAAAACUGCGCAUUCAGAAUGAUUUUUGCCCGUGGUCUUCUUACAGCUGAUCCCAGAUGAAGCUUAAAAUGGUGCCACCGUCUGGCUUACACUCUCUACGCAUGCAGGGUUAAGCUGUCACAGCAGAAGCACAAUAAGGGAGGUGGAUAGAAUUAAGAGCAGUGGUGUUGAAUGAUCUCUCCUAAGCUGGAUACUACACAGGAGCUCGUCCUUGCUCUCUUGGCCAGGGACAUCAUAGAGGCUGUGCAGAGGCUGUUUACCCAAUGGAGUAGCUAACAAAUGGGCAACUCAGUACAAAGGCUGAUUGUC
ensembl:lncRNA